rfam:Arabidopsis thaliana chromosome 3, complete sequence.
UGAUGCGAUCAUACCCGCACUAAUGCACUUGAUCCUAUCAGAACACCACAGUUAAGCGUGCUUUGGGAGAGUAGUACUAGGAUGGGUGACCUCCAGAAAAGUCUUCGUGUUGCAUCCC